UGGGUGUCAAGAACUCAAGAGCCUGCCGAGCAGCAUUCAUAUGAGAUCUCUUCAAACCCUUAAUCUUUCUGGUUGCUCAAACCUUGAGAAGUUUCCUGAGAUUUCAGAUGUUAUGGAGAAGCUAUCAGAGUUAUAUUUAGGUGGGACUGCAAUUAAAGAACUGUCUUCGUCAAUUAAUAAACUCACGGGUCUUCCUGCUUUGGACCUACGUGGCUGUCAAGAACUCAAGAGCCUGCCGAGGAGCAUUCAUAUGAGAUCUCUUCAAACCCUUAAUCUUUCUGGUUGCUCAAACCUUGAGAAGUUUCCUGAGAUUUCAGAUGUUAUGGAGAAGUUAUCAGAGUUAUAUUUAGGUGGGACUGCAAUUAAAGAACUGUCUUCAUCAAUUAAUAAACUCACGGGCCUUGCUACUUUGGACCUACGAGGCUGUCGAGAACUCAAGAGCCUGCCGAGCAGCAUUCAUAUGGGAUCUCUUCAAACCCUUAAUCUUUCUGGUUGCUCAAACCUUGGGAAGUUUACAGAAAUUUCAGAUGUUAUGGAGAAGCUAUCAGAGUUAUAUUUAGCUGGGACUGCAAUUAAAGAACUGUCUUCGUCAAUUAAUAAACUCACGGGCCUUACUGUUUUGGACCUAUCUGGGUGUCAAGAACUCAAGAGCCUGCCGAGCAGCAUUCAUAUGAGAUCUCUUCAAACCCUUAAUCUUUCUGGUUGCUCAAACCUUGAGAAGUUUCCAGAGAUUUCAGAUGUUAUGGAGAAGCUAUCAGAGUUAUAUUUAGAUGGGACUGCAAUUAAAGAACUGCCUUCGUCAAUUAAUAAACUCACGGGCCUUACUGUUUUGGACCUAUAUGGGUGUCAAGAACUCAAGAGCUUGCCGAGCAGCAUUCGUGUGGGAUCUCUUCAUACCCUUUUUCUUUCAGGCUGCUCAAAACUUGAGAAGUUUCAUGAGAUUUCAGAUGUUGUGGAGGAGCUAUCAGAGCUUCAUUUAGAUGGGACUGCAAUUAAAGAAUUGCCUUCGUCAAUUAAUAAACUCACAGGUCUUCUUACUUUGGACCUACGAGGCUGUCGAGAACUCAAGAGCCUGCCGAGCAGCAUUCAUAUGGGAUCUCUUCAAACUCUUAAUCUUUCUGGUUGCUCAAACCUUG
rnacentral:lncRNA from 1 species